AAGACGUAACCUUGUCAAAUGGGCACAUUCCUGGCAAUGAGUACAGGAUGGAAAGAGGAGGAAGACACAGAGGAGAGCCAAGGAAGAUGAGAAAGGAUGAAGUUAUGAUCAUACAUUAUUCUGGAGAUCUCUACUGGAUGUGGGAACCUUUCCUGAUGCCUUGGAUAAGACCAUGCAUCUCAUAUAUGGCACGGAGCUCCCUGAAUCUUCCCUCAUGGCCUGCGUCACUCCA